CUCAAGGUCACCACGGCAGCGGAUUAUGAAGGACAAGAGCUGGUAAAGCAGCCUUGGAUGUCAGUGAAAGGUGCGCCAGCCCGUCUCCCGUCUUCACCUGGCCUGACAGCUCCCCACGUUCUCAGACCCUUUUGGACAAUUUCGACACCGUGCCCAUCUGGUUCUGAUUAAGUCCCAACUGGCAUGCAUCGCAUCCGAAGACGAAAGAUGGUGAGAGAGAGAGAGAGAGAGAGAGGAGGAGGAGAGAAAAAAGACAGCAAGGUGAGAACGAGGCAGAAAGUGAGAUGGUGAAGUACUGCAAGCGGAUGCCAACAGCCGAGAGAUCCGUAACAUCAGCGUCAUCAUUGAAACGCACUAUUGUGACAUCAAAGGCCCAGCCGUGGCCAAAAGACAUUAUCUGGACAUGCUGUGGUGUCAUAUUAGGAGUUCAUGUCUCCUCUCGUCUGUGACAGCUGCAGAGCUUGCUAUGAAGAGCUGCUUCCUGACACAAGAGCCACAAAGGAAAAAGGCAGCAACGGUCACAAAUACCACAGCACUGCACCACGACAAGUCAUAUAUCCGCACACUACAACACAUGCUAUUCACCACACACACUGCAGACCAGGCUCUGCCACUGUUACUGAGCUGUAUGAAGACAGGAUGGAUGGAUGAAAGCCAAACAGAGAUUGCUAGCAGAAUGCAAGAUGGUGAAUGCUUGCAGACCUCAAAACCUAAUUUACUUCAGUAGUUUUAUAUCAUACUAAUGUUCUUUAGGAUAAUAGGGAUCUGGUAUGUAUAACAUGACUUUGGAAUCUCAUUAAAAUUACGUAAC